rnacentral:rRNA from 1 species
AUUGAACGCUGGCGGCAUGCCUUACACAUGCAAGUCGAACGGUAACAGGUCUUCGGAUGCUGACGAGUGGCGAACGGGUGAGUAAUACAUCGGAACGUGCCUAGUAGUGGGGGAUAACUACUCGAAAGAGUGGCUAAUACCGCAUGAGAUCUACGGAUGAAAGCAGGGGAUCGCAAGACCUUGGGCAACUAGAGCGGCCGAUGGCAGAUUAGGUAGUUGGUGGGAUAAAAGCUUACCAAGCCGACGAUCUGUAGCUGGUCUGAGAGGACGAUCAGCCACACUGGGACUGAGAAACGGCCCAGACUCCUACGGGAGGCAGCAGUGGGGAAUUUUGGACAAUGGGCGCAAGCCUGAUCCAGCAAUGCCGCGUGCAGGAUGAAGGCCUUCGGGUUGUAAACUGCUUUUGUACGGAACGAAAAGCCCCGGGUUAAUACCCUGGGGUCAUGACGGUACCGUAAGAAUAAGCACCGGCUAACUACGUGCCAGCAGCCGCAGUAA